AGUGCCAGUAUGCUUCAAUUUCCUUAAUUUCCAUCCCGUUUGUACGAAAUAUCCCAUAAACAUAGAACAUAUCAUUCUUGCAAAUUGUAUAUGCUUUUUUGCUUUUUGGCGCGUAAAUUACUUCACAAACCUGGCGCAAAAAAAUUUAAAAUAAGCUAUAGGUGAUUUCAUGUAUCCAUUUAGAAGAGCAGACUAAGGAUAUCUUAAAACUGAAAUCGGUUUCGAAUACAACCAUCAGGGACGUAGCAAAGCAUCUCACGUUUGGGGUGGGGGCCGGGGGGAUGUCAGAGGAUUAUACGUGUAAUAAUUAUAAUAAAGCUUUUUGUGAUUGAUUGGCACUCUUAUACUAAGUUUUGUGAGAAAAGGUGGGUCUGGGGGUCCUCCCCCAGAAAAUUUUUGCAUUUUCGAAGCUCUAGGACUGAAUUUCUGGCGUUUUCUAAAGCAAAUUUCGCAAACAAAUUGCAUGUAAAUUGACUGUAUUUUACAAAAAUGGUUAUCAUUUCACAAAAAUAAUUACUUUAUUACGCAAAUUUUAC